CAACACAAGUACCUGCCUACCUCCCUCUGUGCUGAUUCUUCUUCUUCAUUUUACUCUUAACUUUUACUCUGCUGGCUCAAGGAUAUACAACAAGCACGAGAGUAGCUAAAGUAUGUGGAGAAUUCGUUUCAAGAAAGGGGGAAAUGACAGAAAUGGUAAAUAAUUCUUUUGGAUCAGUCUUCUGUGGUGAUUAUUCUUCUUCAUUUUACUCUUAACUUUUACUCUACUGGCUAAAGGAUAUACAACAAGCACGAGAGUAGCUAAAGUUGUGGAGAAUCAGUUACAAGAAAGAGAGAAAUGACAGAUUUUUAAAAAAAUUACUUUGGAUUGGUCUUCUGCAAUGAUUCUUCUUAUUCAUUUUACUCUUAACUUUUACUCUACUGGCUCAAGGAUAUACAACAAGCACGAGAGUAGCUAAAGUAUGUGGAUAAUUCGUUUCAAGAAAGGGGGAAAUGACAGAAAUGAUAGACCCAAAAAGCUGGAGUAACUCAGUGGGACAGGCAGCAUCUUUGGAGAGAAGGAAUGGGUGACGUUUCGGGUCGAUACCCUUCAUCAGACUGGUACACAAAAAUGCUGGAGAAACUCAGCGGGUGCAGCAGCAUCUAUGAAGCGAAGGAAAUAGCAUCAAAACUGAUGAUUGGUUCAAGCCCCUCCCUAUCAGGCAAGAGGAACAGAAGUGUGAAAAUGCACGCCACCAGAUUCAGGGAUAGUUUCUUCCGAGCUGUUAUCAGGCAACUGAACCGGCCUAUCACCAACUAGAGAGCGGUCCUGAACUCCUAUCUACCCCUUUGGAGGCCUUUGAACUGUAUUUAAUUGGACUUUAUUUUGCACUAAACAUUAUUCCCUUUAUCCUGUAUCUGUACACUGUGGACACCUUGAUUGUAAUCAUGUAUAGAUUUUUCACUGACUGGAGAGCUCGCAACAAAAAGCUUUUCACUGUACCUUUGUACGCAUGACAAUAAUAAACUCAGAUAAACAAACCCUCAUCUUGGUUGUCGUAGCUCUCUACACUAGAGCUUAUGCCUCAAGAUUUGAUUCUGAUGCAAGACCUGCUUGAAGGACCUGUAGAGAAACUACUUACAAAAUCUGAACUAGUGUUGUGUUCAUAUAGAACAUAGGAUGGUACAGUACAGGAACGGGCCCUUUGGCCCACAAUUUUGUGCCAAACACGACGCCAAGUUAAACUAAUCUUAUCUGCCUGUACGUGAUCCAUAUCCCUGUAUUCCUUGCACUUCCAUGUGCCUAUCUAAAAGCCUCUUAAAUGCCACUGUUGUAUCUGCCUCCACCACCUCCCUUGGCAUUGCAUUCCAGGGCCCCACAACAGGUGUGAAAAACCUGCGACACACAUCUUCAUUAAACAUUCCCCCUCUCACCUUAUAACUAUGCCCUCUAGUGUUGGGCAUUUCCACCUCUGGAGAAAGGUUCUGACUUACUGUCUAUGCCUAUCUAUCUCUUAUAAUUUUAUAUACCUAUUCAGUCUCCCCUGAACCUCUGACGUUCUAGUUUACAAAGUUUCAACAAUCUUAGUUUACCAAGAUCUCAUUGAAUUGUGAAGCAAACUUGAAGGGCCUACUCAUGUAAAAUACACAUCAAUUUUGAACUACAAGUGUUAAAGUUGUCUGGGUGGGUUUACAAGCCAGUCUUGCUCAGACAGAGGAAUGUGUAAGGAAAUAAUAAUGUUAUGGUUCAUGCUCUCACUGAAGUGGACGUUCGACUAUUCUGCUCUCUCAUUUAUUGCCACAAAUUUAAUAUUUCUUAUUUACAAUUUGGACCAAGUACUCGAUCUUAAAAUCUAAAA